rnacentral:lncRNA from 1 species
GAAUCGGUGGUGUUCAAACCGGUUUACGCGAAAUAAUAACGAUUGAUGUUAUUCGUGAGAUUCAGACACGGUGAAAAUACUCCAUUGAUUUAUUGAAACUUUUGAUGGUAUAUCGACAUGAACUUGUCGAACCCAUUGGAUAAAAAAAAAUAAUGAUAAUAAUAAUGCAAAAUCAUAUUUACAUCUCCCCUACUUAAGAGGGGUAUAAUGAUCAAUUAACAUGCUGUAUAAAAAACCUAAACAAGUCUUUUAAACCGCCAAAAUUAAUCUCACACAGGAAACCUCUCCUUUCUAUCGAUUAAGCUCUAAAAUUUCGUUCACAUAUCCAUGAAUAAUACCUUGCUAUUAUAACACUACACCCACAACAUCAACAUAUUAAUCAAGAUGAAUCUACAGCAUACAAACAAUAGUCAGAGUUUAAUUUAUCAAGACACAUCUACAGCAUCAACAUAAACUACACAAGGAUCCACAUGCUGCACCAUAAUUAACUGUUGAAUUUUAAGCAGAAAAUUAAUCGUUCUAAGCAUAAAUCUCAACUAUCUCACAAUCAGUUUUUCACCAGGGGCGCCUUUAGAAACAUCAAAAACAUAAAACAACUUUCUGCAGACUCUUAUCUUUGAGGUAAUCUUAUUUGAAAUGGAGAGGAAGGUAAUCAACACAAAAACUAAAAAACCCGAAAGCAUAUGCAUACUAUGUAAUCCAUUGCAGCUAAAAUCUAGAAUAAACAUGAACAAUAACAGUGUUGCUGCAAAUACUCAAUAAACCAUCAAUUUGGGAGCCGAACAAUCUAUCUGAUAACCGAAAUAGGGCAUACGAGAAUGGGAUUUGCAAUAGCUUAGCAGAUGUUUAAACCAAACAGAAGCACCAUUAUUAUAUGACCGAAAAAACUCGAAAUCAUUACCCUAAACGAGGAUCUCCAUCGCUGUAAGCUGCUGGCGUGUUGUGUCGGAAUGAACGGUUUGUGCUGGACGGCCUUAGACGGUCGGAUCAAGUGAUGAGCUUCCAAACCGAUCCACAAUCUUGAGCCAAACUUUUCUAUCUCUGCUUCGAUUUUGACGCUUUAGCCAUACUGAACAUAGAAACCGGCCCUUGGCGCUUACGAGAACAAAGUCGCCGAAAGGAAUCGACCUGCAAAAUAGCAAUAAACUUAUAACCUAUCCAAGGUCCAAAACAGCCGUUAGCAUGAUUUUAGGGUAGCGGUUGUCGAAUAGGUGGCGGUGCCGAGAUUUGGUUGUUGCUGUCGGAGGUGUGGUAGCGAUUUGAAGGUAAACGGUGAAUUUAGGUUGAAGGACGGUUUAGUGGUUUGAUGGUUUUUGUGAGGGUUUCGUGAGAGGAUGACGGUGAGGUUGUGGUGGAGGUUCUAUGGUGACGGAUGGCGGCGGCGGUAAUGGGUUUUUUGAGGGUUGGGUUUUGGAAUGGACGAGGAUGAAGGUGGCGUUUCCGGUUUUACACGGCGGUGGAGGUGUGAGUCAAAUGGUUUCGCGGCGGAGAAAAAAAAAGUGAAGGGUUUUUGAGCUAUGUGAGGAGAAAGGGUUUGGAGGAUGGAGAUGAAGUGUGAGAGGCGGAGUCUUGAGAGUGAAUGAGGGGUUUUUUUCUUGAGAGAGAAAUGUGUGAAGAUGGUUUUUCAGAGAGUGAGAAAUGUGAGUGAGGAGUGAAUGGUGAGGUGCCUGUUUUGGUGAGGAAUUUGAGUGGAGCUGUGAGUGAGCUGUGUGGGAGUCCGCUGAAGAGUGGAUUGUGAGGUCGUUCCUUUUUUUUUGUGCAGAGUGAGAGAGGCAUUUUAAUACGUGAGAGAAAGAAGAGAGAUUCCUCAGGAUUUUUGUGAGAUUUUUUUAGAUUGGAGAGAGAAUGAGGUGUGUG